CAUGUCUAAGUUCAUGCCGUAUUAAGGCGAAACCGCGAAUGGCUCAUUAAAUCAGUUAUGGUUCCUUGGAUCGUACUUUACUACUUGGAUAACUGUGGCAAUUCUAGAGCUAAUACAUGCAGCAGAGCUCCGACCUUUUGCGAGGGACGAGCGCUUUUAUUAGACCAAAACCGAUCUGGUCCUCGUGGCCAGUAUCCGUGGUGACUCUGUAUAACUUUGGGCUGAUCGCACGGGCUCGUCCCGGCGACGUAUCUUUCAAGUGUCUGCCUUAUCAACUGUCGACGGUAGGUUACGCGCCUACCGUGGUCGUAACGGGUAACGGGGGAUCAGGGUUCGAUUCCGGAGAGGGAGCCUGAGAAACGGCUACCACAUCCAAGGAAGGCAGCAGGCGCGCAAAUUACCCACUCCCGGCACGGGGAGGUAGUGACGAAAAAUAACAAUACGGGACUCUUUUGAGACCCCGUAAUUGGAAUGAGUACACUCCAAACCCUUUAACGAUGAACUAUUGGAGGUAAAGUCUGGUGCCAGCAUCCGCGGUAACUCCAGCUCCAAUAGCGUAUAUUAAAGUUGUUGCGGUUAAAAAGCUCGUAGUUGGAUCUUGGGUCGUUGCCUCUCGGU
rnacentral:rRNA from 1 species